rnacentral:snoRNA from 1 species
CUUGGGAAAUGAUGUGAAUUGAUCCAAUUUAUCAGAGGCACUAGCUAUGCUGAAUGUCUUUGUUUGCACGUCAGUCUGAUCCCGUU